UCAAUAAUAGCUUUUUAGGAUCAUUAAUCUGCAUCACAUUGUGCUGGGGUAUUUGUGUUUUUGGCCGCUUAAUGAGGAAGUCCAAAGAGGUCUUUGGUGGACUAAACUAUACUACCCCACACUUAUACCCUUCAAUCACUAUAAUCAUAUAUAAAUAUUUGUAGUGGUAUAGUGUGUUAAGUGGUUUGUAAACUUUGAAAACUAUCUCUUCAUUAUCUAACCUCAUUAUGAGUAUGC
rnacentral:lncRNA from 1 species